rnacentral:lncRNA from 1 species
CCAACGCUAACACCGAGCCCCGCGUUUUACCAAUCUUGAUUGAAACCCUUUUCUUCUUUUCUAAAACGUUCCCAUUAACAAAUAGAUACGCAAACUUCAUACUCAUACAAAAAAAUGAACACUGUAUAAGAUAAAUGCGAAAACACAACUAACAAAUGUUGUAGGUUAGUUCAAUAUAUAGGUAGGUAAAACUGAUACUAUAAGGCUAUAAGC